GGGAAAAAAGGUAUGAGCGGAGAAAUCGCAUCAAAGAGUAUGAGAUUGCGUCUGAAAAAUUUACAUAUGCAGCAUCUUAAUGUCCUCGUGUAUGACAAGUACGGUCAGCUAGUUAAAACAAACAAAAAAGAAUUACCGCAUAUCAAAGAUGCAUGACAAGGUAAGUAAGGCCCCGAAACCUAUUAACGUGAACAAUGAAGUUCACUCAAGGAAAACCAAAUUGUUUGGCAUUGAACCACCUCAGCAGGCAAUCCUUUGAAACAUGGGUACUAAUGAAGAUGAACAUGUUUUGUGCUGAUAUUCGCAGACCUUCAUUG
rnacentral:lncRNA from 1 species